rnacentral:rRNA from 1 species
AGAGCACAAGGGGAAUGCCUUGGCAUCGGGAGCCGAUGAAGGACGCGACUAACUGCGAUAAGCUACGGGGAGCCGUAAGUAGGCAUUGAUCCGUAGAUUUCCGAAUGGAGCAAUCCGACUAGAGUCAUGUCUAGUCAUCAUAUGCUGAAUAAAAUAGGUAUAUGAGGGGAACCGCCUGAACUGAAACAUCUAAGUAGGGCGAGGAAAAGAAAUCAACCGAGAUUCCGCUAGUAGUGGCGAGCGAACGCGGAAGAGGCCAAACCGAGAGUAGUAAUACUUUCGGGGUUAGGACAGAAAUGUGUACACAGAGGUUUAGCAGAAUUGUAUGGGAAGGCAAACCAAAGAGAGUGAAAGUCUCGUAUGCGAAAAACUGAAGUGGCUAUCUGAAUCCAGAGUACCGCCGGACACGAGGAAUCCGGUGGGAAGACGGGGGGACCAUCCUCCAAGCCUAAAUACUAACCGAUGACCGAUAGAGAAGAGUACCGUGAGGGAAAGGUGAAAAGCACCCCGGGAGGGGAGUGAAAGAGAACCUGAAACCUUGUGCUUACAAGCACCGAGAGCCCGUCAAAGGGUGAUCGGGUACCUAUUGUAGAAUGGUCCGGCGAGUGAAUGUUACUGGCGAGGUUAAGCACUUAAGGUGUGUAGCCAAAGCGAAAGCAAGUCUGAACAGGGCGAUUUUAAGUCAGUAGUAUUCGACCCGAAACCGGGUGACCUACCCAUGUCCAGGUUGAAGUGGAGGUAAAACUCCAUGGAGGACCGAACCGACUCCCGUUGAAAUGGUAGCGGAUGAGGUGUGGGUAGCGGAGAAAUUCCAAUCGAACCCGGAGAUAGCUGGUUCUCUCCGAAAUAGCUUUAGGGCUAGCCUCGGAAUAGAUUACUGGAGGUAAAGCACUGAAUGGGCUAGGGGCCGAGAGGUUACUGAACCCUAUCAAACUAAGAAUGCCAGAUAAUUGUUUUCCGGGAGUCAGACGGCGUGAGAUAAGUUUCGUCGUCAAAAGGGAAAGAGCCCAGACCCACAGCUAAGGUCCCAAAGUAUAGUUAAGUGGAAAAGGAUGUGGGGUUGCCCAGACAACCAGGAUGUUGGCUUAGAAGCAGCCACUCAUUAAAAGAGUGCGUAAUAGCUCACUGGUCGAGUGACCCUGCGCCGAAAAUUCAACGGGGCUAAAUUAUACACCGAAGCUUGGGAUACCGCAAGGUAUGGUAGGAGAGCGUUCUGUAAGGAGUGAAGUGAGAGCGAAAGCGUUCGUGGACUUUACAGAAGUGAGAAUGCCGGAAUGAGUAGCGAGAAAUAUGUGAGAAUCAUAUUGGCCGAAAGUCUAAGGUUUUUGGAGGAAGGUUCGUCCGCUCCAAGUAAGUCGGGAGCUAAGGUGAGGCCUAACGGCGUAGCCGAUGCACAUACGGUAGAUAUUCCGUAACCACCGAAAGAUUUAAACACAGGGACACCUUGAAAGGGCAUAUCCCGGGAGUUGGUUUACCCGGGCGUAAGGGAUCGAAAUUUGAGUAGAGAAGUAUGUUUGGACGAGGGCGAGAAAAGCUGUGCGUAUAUUUUAGGUGCCCGUACCGCAAACCGACACAGGUGGACAGGAAGAGGAUUCUAAGGCCAACGGGAGAAGGGUAAUUAAGGAACUCGGCAAAUUGACCCCGUAACUUAGGGAUAAGGGGUGCUCAUAGGAAUAUGAGCCGCAGAGAAUAGGCCCAGGCAACUGUUUAUCAAAAACACAGGUCUCUGCCAAAUCGAAAGAUGAAGUAUAGGGGCUGACACCUGCCCGGUGCUGGAAGGUUAAGAGGAGGAGUGAGAGCUCCGAAUUGAAGCCCCAGUAAACGGCGGCCGUAACUAUAACGGUCCUAAGGUAGCGAAAUUCCUUGUCGGGUAAGUUCCGACCCGCACGAAUGGUGUAAUGAUCUGGGCACUGUCUCAAUUACCCGCCCGGCGAAAUUGUAGUACCGGUGAAGAUGCCGGUUACCCGCGACAAGACGGAAAGACCCCAUGGAGCUUUACUGCAGCUUGAUAUUGGGUUUCGGUAAUCUAUGUACAGGAUAGGCGGGAGACUAGGAAGUAAAGGCGCCAGCUUUUACGGAGUCGCCCUUGGGAUACCGCUCUUAGAUUGCUGGAAUUCUAACCUGCGGCCAUGAAACUGGUCGGGGAACAUUGUCAGGCGGGCAGUUUGACUGGGGCGGUCGCCUCCUAAAGAGUAACGGAGG